GGAUUGACGUGACGGUCGUGCCUUAAGGGGUAUGAACUGUCGCAGUUGAUUUCUCCCUUCUGACGAACCAUGAUGUCAUUAACUUGGUGUCAUGGGAAAUCAGGACUGUUACUUUGAAAAAAUUAGAGUGUUUAAAGCAGGCUCACGCUUGAAUACAUUAGCAUGGAAUAAUGAAAUAGGACGUUCGAUCCUAUUUUGUUGGUUUUUAGGAUCAACGUA
rnacentral:rRNA from 1 species